rnacentral:rRNA from 1 species
AGCGAAACGGGAAGAGCCCAAACCAACAAGCUUGCUUGUUGGGGUUGUAGGACACUCUAUACGGAGUUACAAAGGACGACAUUAGACGAAUCAUCUGGAAAGAUGAAUCAAAGAAGGUAAUAAUCCUGUAGUCGAAAAUGUUGUCUCUCUUGAGUGGAUCCUGAGUACGACGGAGCACGUGAAAUUCCGUCGGAAUCUGGGAGGACCAUCUCCUAAGGCUAAAUACUCUCUAGUGACCGAUAGUGAACCAGUACCGUGAGGGAAAGGUGAAAAGCACCCCGGAAGGGGAGUGAAAUAGAACCUGAAACCGUGUGCUUACAAGUAGUCAGAGCCCGUUAAUGGGUGAUGGCGUGCCUUUUGUAGAAUGAACCGGCGAGUUACGAUUUGAUGCAAGGUUAAGCAGUAAAUGUGGAGCCGUAGCGAAAGCGAGUCUGAAUAGGGCGUUUAGUAUUUGGUCGUAGACCCGAAACCAGGUGAUCUACCCUUGGUCAGGUUGAAGUUCAGGUAACACUGAAUGGAGGACCGAACCGACUUACGUUGAAAAGUGAGCGGAUGAACUGAGGGUAGCGGAGAAAUUCCAAUCGAACCUGGAGAUAGCUGGUUCUCUCCGAAAUAGCUUUAGGGCUAGCCUCAAGUGAUGAUUAUUGGAGGUAGAGCACUGUUUGGACGAGGGGCCCCUCUCGGGUUACCGAAUUCAGACAAACUCCGAAUGCCAAUUAAUUUAACUUGGGAGUCAGAACAUGGGUGAUAAGGUCCGUGUUCGAAAGGGAAACAGCCCAGACCACCAGCUAAGGUCCCAAAAUAUAUGUUAAGUGGAAAAGGAUGUGGCGUUGCCCAGACAACUAGGAUGUUGGCUUAGAAGCAGCCAUCAUUUAAAGAGUGCGUAAUAGCUCACUAGUCGAGUGACACUGCGCCGAAAAUGUACCGGGGCUAAACAUAUUACCGAAGCUGUGGAUUGUCCUUUGGACAAUGGUAGGAGAGCGUUCUAAGGGCGUUGAAGCAUGAUCGUAAGGACAUGUGGAGCGCUUAGAAGUGAGAAUGCCGGUGUGAGUAGCGAAAGACGGGUGAGAAUCCCGUCCACCGAUUGACUAAGGUUUCCAGAGGAAGGCUCGUCCGCUCUGGGUUAGUCGGGUCCUAAGCUGAGGCCGACAGGCGUAGGCGAUGGAUAACAGGUUGAUAUUCCUGUACCACCUAUAAUCGUUUUAAUCGAUGGGGGGACGCAGUAGGAUAGGCGAAGCGUGCGAUUGG